rnacentral:rRNA from 1 species
GGGACAGAAGAGACAGGUGGUGGCAUGGUUGUCGUCAGCUCGUGUCGUGAGAUGUUGGGUUAAGUCCCGCACGAGCGCAACCCUUAUCAUUAGUUGCUAACAUUCAGUUGAGAACUCUAAUGAGACUGCCAGUGAUAAACUGGAGGAAGGUGGGGAUGACGUCAAAUCAUCAUGCCCCUUAUGACCUGGGCUAUACACGUGCUACAAUGGCCGGUACAAAGAGUUGCGAAACUGUGAAGUUAAGCUAAUCUCAUAAAGCCGGUCUCAGUUCGGAUUGUAGUCUGCAACUCGACUACAUGAAGUCGGAAUCGCUAGUAAUCGCGAAUCAGAAUGUCGCGGUGAAUACGUUCUCGAGUCUU